CCUACGGGUGGCAGCAGUGGGGAAUAUUGGACAAUGGGGGGAACCCUGAUCCAGCGACGCCGCGUGAGUGAAGAAGUAUUUCUGUAUGUAAAGCUCUAUCAGCAGGGAGGAAAAUGACGGUACGUGACUAAGAAGCCCCGUCUAACUACGUGCCAGCAGCCGCUGUAAUACGUAGGCGGCAAGCGUUAUCCGGAUUUACUGGGUGUAAAGGGAGCGUAGACGGUGCAGCAAGUCUGAUGUGAAAGGUCGGGGCCAAACCCAGGGACUGCAUUGGAAACUGUUGAACUGGAGUACAGGAGCGGUAAGCGGAAUGUAUAGUGUAGCGGUGAAAUGCGUAGAUAUUAGGAGGAACACCAGUGGCGAAGGCGGCUUACUGGACUGUAACUGACGUUGAGGCACGAAAGCGUGGGGAGCAAACAGGAUUAGAUACCCGUGUAGUC
rnacentral:rRNA from 1 species